rnacentral:rRNA from 1 species
AUUGAACGCUGGCGGCAUGCUUUACACAUGCAAGUCGAACGGGCUUGGGGGCUUGCUCCCAAGUUAGUGGCGAACGGGUGAGUAAUACAUCGGAACGUACCGUGUAGUGGGGGAUAACGUAGCGAAAGUUACGCUAAUACCGCAUACGAUCUACGGAUGAAAGCAGGGGACCUUCGGGCCUUGUGCUAUACGAGCGGCCGAUGUCUGAUUAGCUGGUUGGUGAGGUAAAGGCUCACCAAGGCGACGAUCAGUAGCGGGUCUGAGAGGAUGAUCCGCCACACUGGGACUGAGACACGGCCCAGACUCCUACGGGAGGCAGCAGUGGGGGAAUUUUGGACAAUGGGCGAAAGCCUGAUCCAGCCAUGCCGCGUGUCUGAAGAAGGCCUUCGGGUUGUAAGGACUUUGUCAGGGAGCAAACUUACUGUUAAUACCGGUGAGGCUGAGAGUACCUGAAGAAUAAGCACCGGCUAACUACGUGCCAGCAGCCGCGGUAA